rnacentral:rRNA from 1 species
AUUGAACGCUGGCGGCAGGCCUAACACAUGCAAGUCGAGCGGGGUUUUCGGACCUAGCGGCGGACGGGUGAGUAAUGCGUAGGAAGCUACCCGAUAGAGGGGGAUACCAGUUGGAAACGACUGUUAAUACCGCAUAAUGUCUACGGACCAAAGUGUGGGACCUUCGGGCCACAUGCUAUCGGAUGCGCCUACGUGGGAUUAGCUAGUUGGUGAGGUAAUGGCGCACCAAGGCGACGAUCCCUAGCUGGUUUGAGAGGAUGAUCAGCCACACUGGAACUGAGACACGGUCCAGACUCCUACGGGAGGCAGCAGUGGGGAAUAUUGGACAAUGGGCGCUAGCCUGAUCCAGCCAUGCCGCGUGUGUGAAGAAGGCCUUCGGGUUGUAAAGCACUUUCAGUAGGGAGGAAGCGUUGUGUGUUAAUAGUACACAGCGUUGACGUUACCUACAGAAGAAGCACCGGCUAACUCUGUGCCAGCCGCCGCGGUAAAAC